rnacentral:rRNA from 1 species
AGUGAACGCUGGCGGUAGGCCUAACACAUGCAAGUCGAACGGCAGCACAGGAGAGCUUGCUCUCUGGGUGGCGAGUGGCGGACGGGUGAGGAAUACAUCGGAAUCUACUUUUUCGUGGGGGAUAACGUAGGGAAACUUACGCUAAUACCGCAUACGACCUACGGGUGAAAGCAGGGGACCUUCGGGCCUUGCGCGAUUGAAUGAGCCGAUGUCGGAUUAGCUAGUUGGCGGGGUAAAGGCCCACCAAGGCGACGAUCCGUAGCUGGUGUGAGAGGAUGAGCAGCCACACUGGAACUGAGACCCGGUGCAGAAUCCUACGGGAGGCAACAGUGGGGAAUAUUGGACAAUGGGCGCAAGCCUGAUACAGCCAUACCGCGUGGGUGAAGAAGGCCUUCGGGUUGUAAAGCCCUUUUGUUGGGAAAGAAAUCCAGCUGGCUAAUACCCGGUUGGGAUGACGGUACCCAAAGAAUAAGCACCGGCUAACUUCGUGCCAGCCGCCGCGGUAA